rnacentral:misc_RNA from 1 species
UGUGGGAGCGAGCUUGCUCGCGAUAGCGAUACUUCAGUCAGCACUGUGCUUGCUGACCCGACGCCAUCGCGAGCAAGCUCGCUCCCAUA